CUCAUGCUUGUGGACAGCCUAUAGAAAAAAAAAAUUCUGAAAACCGGGAGAAAAAUCUAUUCAGCUGUUUUUUGGAGGGCUGUUGGAAAUCCUAUAAACGCAGAUACGUGUCUCUGUAUUGCUGAUACAUUGUGAGACAGAUUGACUGGGAAGGAGAGGGGCUGUAGGAAAGAGCCUUUUCCAUCUACCAUGUAUGGUCAAUCGAGGGCUGGUUACAACAUCAGUCUGUGCUCAAUAGAACUGCUCAUCCCUUGUUGCCAGUUGCCACCAAAUCAGCUGAAAAGGGACAAGAAGAAGUGGGGAAAUGUUCCUCUGGAGUCUGGAUGUUGACUAUAUCUUGACCAAGAAAUUUGGACCUUGACAAAAACGUAAUUGACUACCCCGAUCCUAAGGCUGUAUUACUGAGGUUAAGCUUCAGGGAUCCAUUCUGGACUUAAAAUCGGUCUCCAGUCCACUGCUGGGUCUUGACAUUUCAUUGGUUGCUCAUGUCCAAGUGUGAUGUAGCCAAAAACCCCAUCUGCUCUAAAGCAUUUUUCCCUAGAGGGAAAAAAAAUGUAGAGAUCUGAAAAGAUCUCAAAGCUCUUUCCUGAUGCUAAUUUAACCUCACAAUACUAUAUGAGAGAGGAAGUAUAUUCUCAGGCUUGUUGAUGACUGAAUGUGAUUUGACCAAGGUCACACAAUAGAAAAGUAGCAUUCUUAAUGAUCCCAGGAGCUUUGACUUCCAGCCCCUCUGCACCGACCUCUAGAUAACACCACUUCCUCAAACAAAAGCAUGUUAACUCUUUACAAAUGCAUA